AAAAAUUGAUCUCAGUAUGCCCAAGUGACGUGGCCUGGUCAAACGGACCAUCGAAGUCAAAAACUUCCACAUCUAGAACUGAAGGUGGUUCUUCCAUUGCAUCAAACUCAAGUAUGUCUGCAAUAUUUCUUCAAAAUAUUUUAACACUUAUAGUUGCAGAAAAUAUGAAGCAAAGAAUCCCACAAGAUAAAGGACUUACCAUUCCAUUGAGGAUUGCUACUUUGGAGCUUAACAGAGCUUGUUCUUGUUUUCCCAUUGCAGGUGAACACUACAUAGGGAUCUGAAAGCCCUGUUGAGUCCAAGGAUGCUAAAUUGAUCCCCUCAAUUAACGCCACAGUAAGAACCCACCC
rnacentral:lncRNA from 1 species